UUUUAAGAUAUUAAAUUAAAUAGUUUUAAUCAUUGUUAAGUAUUAAAGCUAUUUAAUUUCGGUAUUUAAGAGCAGAAGGGUAUUUUGGUCAUUUUACCAAAAUAGUAUUUGAGUAUUUCCACAAAGAAGUAUUUUAGUAUUUUCAAGGAAGUAUUUUAUUAAUAUUAGUAGGAAGAUUAUUUUGGAAAUUUAUCAUCAAAUGUAUUUUGGCAAUUUGAUGAGUAAGGGCAUUUUGGUCUUUUACCCAAAUUGACUACCACUAUAAAAAGAGAAAAACCUAAAGUUUCCCAUCUUUUUCCAUCUUCUUCACUAGCCACCAUUUCUCAAAAAGGAGAAGAUCUUGCAAUUAUCAAAGGGAAGCAAAGAGGUUUCAAGAAUAAUUAAAGCCAGUCAAACUUUUGACUGUUGAUUUUUGUGUAAUCAAGAGUUUAGAGAAGAAGUUGCAGGUACAAGUUCUUGAUGUGCAUGGAAAUCAUAAGCAUCCGGAUGGGAGUUUUAGUACACGAGUACUUUCUUAUUUAAGUUAUCUUGAAUUUUAUAUUUGACUUUACUUGACCAAUGGGGUCAAGGUUUGACUUUUGAAUAUGGGACUAGUAUGGGAUAGUCUCGGAGUUGUAAUUCAAUUACAUACUUUCUUAUUUCUAUUGUAUUAAAGUAUUUCCAGUUUA